CUGAUCCAACACAACUCUUGAGAGAUGUCGAAAAGUACUGGUUCGAGUCGGGCGACAAGUCUCAUCAAUCCUCUUUCAAAUCCUAGCCAUUUCCUGCGGCUGUUGCGCUAGAUGAAUCUCGGUCUUCGUAUUCUCGAAUCCGCGGCGGCGGCGGCCAAUUCGUUCCCAGGACCCCAAAUACUGAGUGUUUUCCAAGGGCUCUACUUGAGAGCAGGUAACCGAUCCCAAAGUCUCGCUCUCCUCAAUUCCAACUUGCUGUCAUUGUUAUCUUUGCUAGGGUUCGCUUCAUCUCUUCAUUUCACCCCGAUUUCCCCAUUUUUUACUUUUUAAACAAGGUACGGGGUUAAUCCAAGAUUAAUCCACUGCUCCGUGUGCCAAGAAUCUCUCAGCGCAGUCGGAAAUGGCGAAGGUGGUACGAGGAUGCGGCGAUGGAGGGUUGAUAGAGAGUCUUCCACAGAGCCUAGUACUGGAAAUAUUGGGGAGGCUGGACUUGGAGUCUCUAUGUUCGGUGGCACCCGUCUGCAAAGCUCUCCGGUUCUCGGUGUCGCAGGCUCUCUCGACCAUCUCCACCAUCGACCUCUCUGAGUUUUCACCUACCGUCCAGAUCCUGAAUAGAGUUCUGGCUAAUAAUAGAAUGCUUCGAAGCCUUACCCUUGACUGUGCUCGACUCGAUGAUUCUUCAAUUGAAGUUUUUGCCAAGGAACAUCUCCAAGAACUUGUUUUGCUUAAGUGCUUCAUGUUCUCUUCAUAUAUUUUCACAGCCAUCAGCAGAAAGUGCCCCAAUUUAAGACUGUUAUCAUUGGAAAUGAUACGUCCAUGUGAGCUUGACUCACCUGAUGACUGCAACAAUUCCAUAGCAGAAAUGCUCAAGGGAUGCUUGUGCUUGGAGUCUCUGUGUAUAAAGUUCCAUGUCCAAUAUGAUGGCCCAAGUGAUCUUGAAUUCAUCCAGCUCAUCUUGCCGAAAACCAUUAGAGUUCUGCUGUUGCAGCCUAUAUCUGAUUGGCAAGCCAAGCUGCUUGUCCUCAAAGCUGGAGCUGAUAGGGAUUCAACUGCAUCCUUAGCUGGUCCUGGCAGUUCCUUUCUAAGGCCCAAUUGUAAUGGACUGCAGUCGCUAUCUCUUGUUUUAAAUAAAAUAAAAGAUGAACUUCUUAUAGCUGUUGCAAGCAGUCUUCCUCAAUUGGUUGAACUGUGCCUUGAAGAUAAACCACUGGAGGAGCCUUCUUUGCACAAUGACUUGACCAACAGAGGGCUUCAGUCGCUAGGCUCCUGUAGAAAUUUGACUAGCCUUUCGCUUACACGGAGUAGACAAAAUUUCCCAGCCACUUUCAGGAGGGUGAAUGAUGUUGGUAUUCUCCUCCUAUCUGAGGGAUGUAGAAGGCUUGAAUCAGUAAGACUUGGUGGAUUUUCUCGAGUGACUGAUGCAGGGUAUGUAUCUUUUCUUUACUCCUGCAAGAACUUGAAAAGGUUUGAGGUCGUCAAUCCUUUUUUCUUGUCAGAUUUGACAUUUCACAAUCUUGCUGAUGCCACAAACUCCCUUGUUGAAGUGAGAUUGUUGUCCUGCAAUCUUGUAACCAGUGAAACUGUAGAAUCUCUAUCCUUAUGCAGAAAUUUGGAGGUUCUGGACCUUUCAGGAUGCAAAAGCACUGCAGAUGUUGGGCUCAUUUCAAUUUCAAAACUUUGUAAAUUGACUACAUUGGAUCUUGGUGGAGCUGAUAUCACUGACAGUGGUUUAGCAGCCCUUGGUCGUGGGAGUUGCCCAAUUGCUUCUUUAUGUCUAAGGGGCUGCAAAAGGAUCACUGACAGAGGGCUGACGCAGCUGUUGCAUCAGGAUGGCAUUAUUAGGAGAACUUUAUCGACUCUGGAUCUGGGUUACCUGCCUGGAUUGUCAGAUAAAGGUAUAUCUAUCAUUGCUGAGGUCUGUAGAGAAAUCACCAACCUUAGCAUCCGGAGUUGUUUCUUUGUCACUGAUGCUUCUAUAACAGUUCUGGGUUCGAUGGAAGGAUUCGAGGGCAAAAGAAGACCACUUCGAAAGCUUGAUCUCUAUAGCUGUAGUGGGUUGUCAAACGCUUCUUUUUGGCUGCUUGCCCCUCCUUUCUUCCGUGGCCUACGCUGGCUUGGUGUGGGAAACACUAGGUUGCUGGCUAAAAGCAAAGACAGAUUUGUGGAACUUUCAAGAGAUCGACCAGGUCUAACGAUUUGUGCAAAUGGCUGUGAGAUGGGUUGCAAGGACGGAUGGCAGUGCCAUGAAUUUAUCUGACAAAAGAAAUUUGGUAUUGGCAGUUUGUGUAUAAGUUUAAGAAGUACAAUGGAGAUGAAGAUGAUGGAUGACCAUUUUAUGGACUCUUUGCAUCUGAAAAUAUGGUGUUUGCCAUGCCAGACCUUAAGAGUGCUGUUGAUGUUGAAAAGUUUCUUUGGACAUGAAGCAUCGAUGAUUGCAGCGGCUUGCAUUCCUACAUCAAGAACAGGAUUUGAUAUUUCUCUCUCAUCUUCUCUCAUCUUGUGAAGCAGGAAGAGAAUGGACUUUAGCAAGCUCCAGUUUGGAAGGCUAAAUCAUCUUGGAGUCAUACAGGACCAGACUCUUUUCUCGAAAUGAAAGAGGCGGAGCAUUCGAGAUUAGGCUGAGGGAUGGUUACAGAAAAAGAAACGGUGAUUGGAAUAGACCUAUCCCAGCUGCCAUUGCAAAGCAGAUUCCUAUCAAUUUUGUGCUUGUGGCCACUCCAGAAAAGGUUUUUGUGCUUGAAUUAAUGAAUUUUUGUAUGCUCGAUAUGAACUAGUCUGUUUAAGCUUCGCUUAGUAUUACAAAACAUGAAUUUUUUUGCCGGAAGAAACCCUGACUGCAUGUAACCCAAGAAUUUACAGUAUCUAACUUUGCUUCCAUUCUCCGUUCAAUGCUUCUGCUGAGGGUUUCAUUUUCAUAUUAACAUUUGUUUUCUAUGGAAAGGAAUGUGAUAGUGGUAUCUGCUUACAAAAUGA